UAUUGCUUUGGCGAUACACAUACUAAAAUUAAGAUGAUACAGACAAGAUUUAGCAUGGCCCCUGCACAAGGAUGUCACGUAAAUUCAUGAAGUACUCCAUAUUUUU